rfam:Sorangium cellulosum So0157-2, complete genome.
GCGCCCGUAGCUCAGCUGGAUAGAGCAGCGGCCUUCUAAGCCGCGGGUCGCAGGUUCGAAUCCUGCCGGGCGUG